AGUGGCGGACGGGUGAGUAACGCGUAAGAAUCUAACUUCAGGACGGGGACAACAGUGGGAAACGACUGCUAAUACCCGAUGUGCCGCGAGGUGAAACCUAAUUGGCCUGAAGAAGAGCUUGCGUCUGAUUAGCUAGUUGGUGGGGUAAGAGCCUACCAAGGCGACGAUCAGUAGCUGGUCUGAGAGGAUGAGCAGCCACACUGGGACUGAGACACGGCCCAGACUCCUACGGGAGGCAGCAGUGGGGAAUUUUCCGCAAUGGGCGAAAGCCUGACGGAGCAACGCCGCGUGAGGGAGGAAGGUCUUUGGAUUGUAAACCUCUUUUCUCAAGGAAGAAGUUCUGACGGUACUUGAGGAAUCAGCCUCGGCUAACUCCGUGCCAGCAGCCGCGGUAAUACGGGGGAGGCAAGCGUUAUCCGGAAUUAUUGGGCGUAAAGCGUCCGCAGGUGGUCAGCCAAGUCUGCCGUCAAAUCAGGUUGCUUAACGACCUAAAGGCGGUGGAAACUGGCAGACUAGAGAGCAGUAGGGGUAGCAGGAAUUCCCAGUGUAGCGGUGAGAUGCGUAGAGAUUGGGAAGAACAUCGGUGGCGAAAGCGUGCUACUGGGCUGUAUCUGACACUCAGGGACGAAAGCUAGGGGAGCGAAAGGGAUUAGAUACCCCUGUAGUCCAAGCCGUAAACGAUGGAUACUAGGCGUGGCUU
rnacentral:rRNA from 1 species